UAAGAGGUCCCGCCUGCCCUGUGACCAAAAGUUCAACGGCCGCAGUAUUUUGACUGUGCAAAGGUAGCGCAAUCACUUGUCUUUUAAAUGAAGACCUGUAUGAAUGGCAUAACGAGGGCUUAACUGUCUCCUUUUUCCAGUCAAUGAAAUUGAUCUCCCCGUGCAGAAGCGGGGAUAGCACCAUAAGACGAGAAGACCCUGUGGAGCUUUAAAUGAAGUUAGAUCAUGUCAAAACCCCUUCUUAAAGGAACGAACUAAUUGAUUACUACACUACAUUUUUGGUUGGGGCGACCACGGGGGACAAAAGAUCCCCCAUGUGGACUGGAAAAAUAUUUUCAAAACUAAGAGAAACCCCUCUAAGUAGCAGAAUAUCUGACCAUCAUGACCCGGCAUAGCCGAUCAACGAACCAAGUUACCCCAGGGAUAACAGCGCAAUCCUUUUUUAGAGCCCAUAUCGACAAAAGGGUUUACGACCUCGAUGUUGGAUCAAGACAUCCUAAUGGUGCAGCCGCUAUUAAGGGUUCGUUUGUUCAACGAUUAA
rnacentral:rRNA from 1 species